rnacentral:rRNA from 1 species
GACGAACGCUGGCGGCGUGCUUAACACAUGCAAGUCGAACGAGUGGCGAACGGGUGAGUAAUACGUGAGUAACCUGCCCUCUUUUUGGGAUAAGCCUUGGAAACGGGGUCUAAUACCGGAUAAAGGGGGAUGGGCUCGCGGCCUAUGAGCUUGUUGGUGGGGUGAUGGCCUACCGAGGCGGUGACGGGUAGCCGGCCUGAGAGGGUGGCCGGCCACAUUGGGACUGAGAUACGGCCCAGAGUCGUCCGCGAGGCAGCAGUGGGGGAUAUUGCCGAAUGGGCGAAAGAGUGAAGCAGCGUCGCCGCGUGAGGUCUGCAGGCUUUCGGGUUCUAAACCUCUGUCGCAAUCGAACGGGUAGCUGGAGACGAAGCCCCGGCUAACUACGUGCCAGCAGCCGCGGUAAUUC